GCAAAAGUCCAUUUAUUUCAGUAAUGCAACGUAAAAGGGGAAACUAAUAUAUGAGAUAGACGCAUUAUAGGAAAAGCAAGAUAGUUCAAGUCGUGAUUUGUCAUAAGUGCGAUGAUUUACGGCUUACAGCUCAUGAAAACCCUAAAUCCACAAUCUCAGUAAAUUAGAAUAUUACAUGCAAUCAAUAAAACAAGGAGUGUACGUAGAACAAUAUUGGACCUCUGAAAAGUAUAAGCAUGCAUAUGGACUCAGUACUUGGUUUGGGCCCCUUUUGCAGGAAUUACUGCCUCAAUGCGGCGUGGCAUGGAAACUAACAGCCUGUGGCACUGCUGAGGUGUUAUGGAAGACCAGGAUGCUUCAAUAGCGGCCUUCAGCUCUUCUGCAUUGUUCGGUCUCAUGUCUCUCAUCUUUCUCUUGGCAAUCCCCCAUAGAUGUUCUAUGGGGCAUUGGUCAGGUGAGUUUGCUGGCCAAUCAAGCACAGUAAUCCCAUGGUCAUUGAACCAUGCUUUGGUGCUUUUGGCAGUGUGGGCAGGUGCCAAGUCCAGCUGGAAAAUGAAGUCAGCAUCCCCAUAAAGCUCGUCUGCGGAAGGAAGCAUGAAGUGCUCCAAAAUCUCCUGGUAGACAGCUGCGUUGACCCUGGACUUAAUGAAGCACAGUGGACCAACACCAGCAGAUGACAUGGCUCCCCAAAUCAACACACACUAUGGAAACUUCACACUGGACUUCAAGCAUCUUGCAGUGUGUGCCUCUCCAAUCUUCCUCCAGACUCUGGGUCCUUGGUUUCCAAAUGAGAUGCAAAAGUUGCUUUCAUCAGAAAAGACCACUGAGCAACAAGAGAAACGGACCACUUCCAGAUCUACAAACUGUAUAGACCCACGUCAACUCAAGUUUCUGCAAGUGGACCUGGUUUUCUAUCUGCC